AGUUGAGACAGUUGAGGGGGCUGUAUGCUGCAGCGUGCGGGAGGGGAUGUGUCAGUGCCUUCUGUCAGUAUUGGUGCUGAAGACUGAAAAUUGUUGAAUCACAGCCUCAGGGUGGAGCAGAUUUGUCCCUUAGGACCUUUGUCCGAGUUAUCUUAGCAAGUUUGUUCCAUACAGUCCACACAUUCCGGUCUACUUCUUCCCACACCAGUGGAUUGAUGUUACCAAGACGCUCCAGUGCCGAACCUCCCUCGUGCUGAUCGUAUAUUGUAGCCCCAAGACUGAAGGACUUGAGAGACUCAGGUUUGCCCCUUCUGCCCUCAACUUACCUCGUGGUAGUUGAAGUCAGUUAUAUGAAAGAGGUAACGUUUUUCCUUUAUAACGUAUCAUGAAUAAAGAUUACACAGCAGGAACGGAGGCAUGGAAGGAGUAGCAGACACCGAGUUAGUGUGCAGAUGAGUAGGGAACAGAAGGAAACAAGACGAGCCAGGAGGAGCCUGGCUGGAGUUUUCCACCAACAGAAACUUGGAAAUGGGGUGAGAAGAGAGAGGAAACCGUGGAAGCAGUUUGUUCAGAAAGGACAAGAGGACAGUGUUAACGACUAUAAGAGAAGACAGCCUGGCAAGGAAGCUUAUAGCUGGAGGAGAAGUUGGUCAAAACAAGCAAGUCAUUUUAGCACUGGAGCCAGAAAACAUGAGCAUUUUUAUAGAGGUUCUACAGAAGAAAAGAGCAAGAGCCUGAAUUAACAAUAAAAAACCAAAACAACAAAACCUGUGGAAUUUGGGGAAAGAGGCAGAGACUUCCAGGAUUGAUGUACAGAUGUCAUGGAUUGUGCCAGCUGUCUAAUUUAGUCUUGAGACUUGAAGUCGCUUUCUCAGCGUGAGAGUUGUUGAAUUUCUUUUCACACUCUUCAUUGCCUAUCCAAGCAGGAAGUGUCAUCUCACAAAAGCUGGCAGAGGUCACUGUUUUAAUAACUAUUGUUAAUUGAUGCUUCUGAAAAGUCUUCUAUCAACUUGAAUUUGCUACCUGCAGAGACUUGCUCAGCAGGUAGCUGAAUCAAAUUAUAACUUUAAUUCAUUGAUUAGUAAAUCAGACUAGAACUGUGACUACCUUGUAUGUUUUAAAAUACAAUAUUUCUCUAAUCAGGUUCCCUGAAAACUAUUUAGUCUCUUUAUAAAAUCUAUAAUUUAGAAAAUCCCAGUGCUGCUAAAAGCUUUAAGCUAUAUAUUGAGUCUAGUUCUGCAAAAAAUAGCUGUUCAUAGGUCUUAGUAUGAGUGCAGGCAAGCUCUUUGCACCGAUGCCUUCAUUAGCAAACACUACAUAUGCUAGCAAGAGUCUGCAGGGCCAGCCCAUGCUUCUGAAAUAUCAGACAUGUGAAAAGAAAUUAGCUGUGUUGAAAAUAGUAACUGAAAGCCAAAUAAAAAAAAUCUGGGAGCCAGUAAAUACUGUGCUAGUAAGUGAGAGAAUGUGUGGAGAGUUUCCCCUAUUGCUGUCCAGAAUAUCAUGAAUCCAGAUUCAACAGAGUCAUAGAGUUUCUCUUCAUCUCAUAUGUGGCGUUUUCUACUGAGUGUAUAGGAAAGUUUAUGCUCUUUUAUAUUACAAAUGUGAAUUUUUUUCCCUCUCUUUUUCUCUGUCUCCCCAAUAUCAUUUAGCAAAAUUUUCUUUCUUCCGAAAGACCUCCUCAGAAAAUUAUUAUUAAUACCUAUAUUUCUAAUCUUUAAAUUGUUGUAUUGAGUGGAAAAAAUGAACAGCAUGCAAGUUAAACACUGUGUGGGAUAAAUGCUAUUUAAAUCUUGUCUAAGCUGUUAAACAUCACACUAACAUUGGAUUGCUGGAUCUAAUCCAGUAAAAAUUUAAAAAAAAAAAAAAAAAAAA